rnacentral:rRNA from 1 species
AGGCUUAACACAUGCAAGUCGAGGGGCAGCAUGGUCUUAGCUUGCUAAAGGCCGAUGGCGACCGGCGCACGGGUGAGUAACACGUAUCCAACCUGCCGUCUACUCUUGGACAGCCUUCUGAAAGGAAGAUUAAUACAAGAUGGCAUCAUGAGUCCGCAUGUUCACAUGAUUAAAGGUAUUCCGGUAGACGAUGGGGAUGCGUUCCAUUAGAUAGUAGGCGGGGUAACGGCCCACCUAGUCUUCGAUGGAUAGGGGUUCUGAGAGGAAGGUCCCCCACAUUGGAACUGAGACACGGUCCAAACUCCUACGGGAGGCAGCAGUGAGGAAUAUUGGUCAAUGGGCGAGAGCCUGAACCAGCCAAGUAGCGUGAAGGAUGACUGCCCUAUGGGUUGUAAACUUCUUUUAUAAAGGAAUAAAGUCGGGUAUGGAUACCCGUUUGCAUGUACUUUAUGAAUAAGGAUCGGCUAACUCCGUGCCAGCAGCCGCGGUAAUACGGAGGAUCC